AUCAACAGUAUGAACUUGCUGUCUGAAGAGAAAAUAUUUCCCUUCCUAAAGGAAGUUUUAUGCCAUGCUGAAGUAGCAGCUGUGCAUGUACAAAGAUCUUCGUGGGAGCUAUAAAAUGCAUUUGGCUGCUUUUUCAUGCUCCAGAAACAUUCUGAGAGAAUGGACUGAGUUCCUUGUACGGACAAAGAGGCUCAACCAUCCUACUGACAAUGGACCACAGUGGGGAGAGAUGUACUUCAUGCUUCACUACAGCCAUAAGUAAGUGGCAUCAUUUUUUGCCAAAGAUGACUCUAGAAGCUGGGGAAGGUUCUUAGCAGGAGCUGGGCAAUGGUGAAAAGAAGUGAUGUAGUGUUAGGAAUAAAAUUGCUCUGGUACUGCUCA
rnacentral:lncRNA from 14 species